CCUACGGGAGGCAGCAGUAGGGAAUCUUUCACAAUGGGCGAAAGCAUGAUGGAGCAACGCCGCGUGCAGGAUGAAGGCCUUCGGGUUGUAAACUGCUUUUAUAAGCGAGAAAUAUGAUGGUAACUUAUGAAUAAGGAUCGGCUAACUACGUGCCAGCAGCCGCGGUCAUACGUAGGAUCCGGGCAUUAUCCGGAGUGACUGGGUGUAAAGAGUUGCGUAGGUGGCAUAAUAAGUAGCUAGGGAAAUCUGGUGGCUCAACCAUUCAGACUAUUAGCUAAACUGUUAAGCUCGAGACCGUUAGGGGUAACUGGAAUUUCUAGUGUAGGAGUGAAAUCCGUAGAUAUUAGAAGGAACACCAAUAGCGUAGGCAGGUUGCUGGGACGGUUCUGACACUAAGGCACGAAAGCGUAGGGAGCAAACGGGAUUAGAUACCCCAGUAGUC
rnacentral:rRNA from 1 species